rnacentral:rRNA from 1 species
UUCCAGACUCCUACGGGAGGCAGCAGUGGGGAAUAUUGCACAAUGGGGGAAACCCUGAUGCAGCGACGCCGCGUGAGUGAAGAAGUAUUUCGGUAUGUAAAGCUCUAUCAGCAGGGAAGAAAAUGACGGUACCUGACUAAGAAGCCCCGGCUAACUACGUGCCAGCAGCCGCGGUAAUACGUAGGGGGCAAGCGUUAUCCGGAUUUACUGGGUGUAAAGGGAGCGUAGACGGCAUGGCAAGUCAGAUGUGAAAGCCCGGGGCUCAACCCCGGGACUGCAUUUGGAACUGUAUAGCUAGAGUGUCGGAGAGGCAGGCGGAAUUCCUAGUGUAGCGGUGAAAUGCGUAGAUAUUAGGAGGAACACCAGUGGCGAAGGCGGCCUGCUGGACGAUGACUGACGUUGAGGCUCGAAAGCGUGGGGAGCAAACAGGAUUAGAUACCCCAGU